rnacentral:rRNA from 1 species
UACGUAGGGUGCAAGCGUUGUCCGGAAUUAUUGGGCGUAAAGAGCUCGUAGGCGGUUUGUCGCGUCUGCUGUGAAAACCUGGGGCUUAACUCCGGGCCUGCAGUGGGUACGGGCAGACUAGAGUGCGGUAGGGGAGACUGGAAUUCCUGGUGUAGCGGUGAAAUGCGCAGAUAUCAGGAGGAACACCGGUGGCGAAGGCGGGUCUCUGGGUAGUAACUGACGCUGAGGAACGAAAGCGUGGGUAGCGAACAGG